AACGAACGCUGGCGGCGUGCUUAACACAUGCAAGUCGAGCGCGAAAGGGACUUCGGUCCUGAGUAAAGCGGCAGACGGGUGAGUAACACGUGGAUAACCUGUCCCUUGGUGGGGGAUAUCUACUCGAAAGGGUGGCUAAUACCGCAUAAGACCGUGAAUUUUCGGAUUUACGGUGAAAGAUUUAUUGCCGAGGGAGGGGUCCGCGUCCGAUUAGCUAGUAGGUGAGGUAAUGGCUCACCUAGGCGACGAUCGGUAGCUGGUCUGAGAGGAUGAUCAGCCACACUGGUACUUAGACACGGGCCAGACUCCUACGGGAGGCAGCAGUGGGGAAUAUUGCGCAAUGGACGAAAGUCUGACGCAGCAACGCCGCGUGGGUGAAGAAGGCCUUAGGGUCGUAAAGCCCUGUCAGAUGGGAAGAAACCUGCCUUUAAGGUAGCUGACGGUACCAUCAAAGGAAGCACCGGCUAACUCUGUGCCAGCCGCCGCCGUAACAC
rnacentral:rRNA from 1 species